GAACUCCAAGAUAGCAGCAGUUACAACCGCCUGCCGGAGACUUAAUGCUCCAGACCCCACAGAAGUCCCCAUGGCAUUAGCCACAUCAUUGGCCCCUAUAUUCCAAGCCAUAUAGAACCCAAAUAACAGCGUUGCAUAUGAUAGCAACUUGGUCUUUAAGCCCAAACCUUGUCCCAGAGACUUCAUAAAGAAGGGAAAAGUAAGAGCAGCAAAUGCUAUGCAUAUGCUGAUAGCAAAGGACGUUCUUGAAGAUAUAUGAAAGGCCUGAGCCAUUCCAGGCAAGUCAUCUUCAUUGUUUUUCACUGUUCCUUGAUGCUUCUCAAUCUGGAUUCCUUCUUUGCGCCCUUCUUCGCCUCCAGCUUCAGCGAAAGAGGAUAUACUGGCAAAAGGGUAAGCGAGUUUAGAGUUGUCGAGUCUCAAAAUGGGAAGAAAAUGCUUUAGAGGUAGUUGGUGAGGCUUGAAAAUAUUACUCUCUCUAUGCAAGCGGUUUCUGGAGAGACACAAAUGAGAAUUACGCAAAACAGUUUGCGGAGUGACAGAAUUUCUUGUAGAAGAUAGGCAAUAAGAGGAAGUCAUGUCUAGAAGAGAGAGUCAAGGGAGUGAAGAUGAAGAGAAAUACUAUGGAUAAGGUAUUAUUCAGAUAGAUUCUUG
rnacentral:misc_RNA from 1 species